rnacentral:rRNA from 1 species
ACACUCCUGCGGGAGGCAGCAGUGGGGAAUAUUGCACAAUGGGCGCAAGCCUGAUGCAGCCAUGCCGCGUGUAUGAAGAAGGCCUUCGGGUUGUAAAGUACUUUCAGCGGGGAGGAAGGCGAUAAGGUUAAUAACCUUGUCGAUUGACGUUACCCGCAGAAGAAGCACCGGCUAACUCCGUGCCAGCAGCCGCGGUAAUACGGAGGGUGCAAGCGUUAAUCGGAAUUACUGGGCGUAAAGCGCACGCAGGCGGUCUGUCAAGUCGGAUGUGAAAUCCCCGGGCUCAACCUGGGAACUGCAUUCGAAACUGGCAGGCUAGAGUCUUGUAGAGGGGGGUAGAAUUCCAGGUGUAGCGGUGAAAUGCGUAGAGAUCUGGAGGAAUACCGGUGGCGAAGGCGGCCCCCUGGACAAAGACUGACGCUCAGGUGCGAAAGCGUGGGGAGCAAACAGGAUUAGAAACCCCUGUAGUCCCAUG